rnacentral:rRNA from 1 species
AAAAUAAAAAAGGGGGGGGGGGGGGGGGGGGGGGAGGUGAUAAAAGGGGGGUGAUAAUUUAUUUCCUCCCUCUUUUGGAGGGGGGGGGAAAACGGGUUGGAAAAAGGGGGGGUUUUAAACCCCCGGAUUUUUUUUUUUUUUCCUUGGAAUUUAUUAAUCAAAGGGGGUUUCGGGUUACCACUAAAGGAAGAAUUUGGGUUCUGAUUAGCUUGUGGGUGGGGUAAAGGCCCACCCAAGGCUUCGGAUCAGUAGCUGGUCUGAGAGGAUGAUCAGCCACACUGGGACUGAGAUACGGCCCAGACUCNUACGGGAGGCAGCAGUGGGAAUUUUGCGCAAUGGCGAAAAGCCUGACGCAGCAACGCCGCGUGAUCGAGAAGCUCUGCGGAGUGUAAAGAUCUGUCAUAGGGAAGAAUAGCGAGUAUUCUAACAAAAUAUUCGUCUGACGGUACCUUAUAAGAAAGCCCCGGCUAACUUCGUGCCAGCAGCCGCGGUAAUACGAGGGGGGCAAGCGUUAUCCGGAAUCAUUGGGCGUAAAGGGUUCGUAGGCGGACUGAUCAGUUGGAAUUGAAAGACCACGGCUUAACCGAGGGAACGAUUUCAAUACUGUCAGUCUUGAGUGAGGUAGAGGUAAGCGGAAUUCCUGGUGUAGCGGUGAAAUGCGUAGAUAUCAGGAGGAACAUCAAAGGCGAAGGCAGCUUACUGGGCCUAUACUGACGCUGAGGAACGAAAGCGUGGGGAGCAAACAGGAUUAGAGACCCUGGUAGUCCACGCCGUAAACGAUGAGUACUUAGUGAUGGGGGAUUCGACCCCUUCAUUGCUGGAGCUAACGCAUUAAGUACUCCGCCUGGGAACUACGACCGCAAGGUUGAAACUCAAAGGAAUUGACGGGGACCCGCACAAGCGGUGGAUCAUGUGGUUUAAUUCGAUGCAACGCGAAGAACCUUACCUAGGCUUGACAUGUUAGUGAAAACUCUGUGAAAGCAGAGCCUUCUGCGAGCUUGCUCAAAGACACUAUCACAGGUGAUGCAUGGCUGUCGUCAGCUCGUGUCGUGAGAUGUUCGGUUAAGUCCGAUAACGAGCGCAACCCCUAUUCUUAGUUGCCAGCACGUAAUGGUGGGGACUCUAAGAAAACUGCCCGGGAUAACCGGAAGGAAGGUGGGGUCGACGUCAAGUCAGUAUGUCCCUUACGCCUAGGGCUACACACGUGAUACAAUGGAGGGUACAAAGGGUUGCAAUGCCGCGAGGUGGAGCCAAUCCCAAAAAACCUUCCCAAGUUCAGAUUGCAGUCUGCAACUCGACUGCAUGAAGCAGGAAUCGCUAGUAAUCGUGAUCAGAACGCCANCUGAAUCGCCCCC